rnacentral:rRNA from 1 species
AUUGAACGCUGGCGGCAUGCCUAACACAUGCAAGUCGAGCGAGCGGCGGACGGGUGAGUAAUGUCUGGGAAACUGCCUGAUGGAGGGGGAUAACUGCUGGAAACGGUAGCUAAUACCGCAUACCAUCAGAUGUGCCCAGAUGGGAUGAGCUAGUAGGUGGGGUAACGGCUAACCUAGGCGACGAUCCCUAGCUGGUCUGAGGGGAUGAUCAGCCACAGUGGAACUGAGAGACGGCCCAGACUCCUAAGGGAGGCAGCAGCGGGGGAGAUUGCACAAUGGGCGCAAGCCUGAUGCAGACAUGCCGCGUGUGUGAAGAAGGCUUUCGGGUUGUAAAGCAAUUUCAGCGGGGAGGCGUUACCCGCAGAAGAAGCACCGGCUAACUCCGUGCCAGCAGCCGCGGUAAUAC